rnacentral:rRNA from 1 species
UGGGGAAUUUUGCGCAAUGGGCGAAAGCCUGACGCAGCAACGCCGCGUGGGUGAUGAAGGUCUUCGGAUCGUAAAACCCUGUCGUCAGGGACGAAGGUUCUGGGGUGAACAGCCCCCGGAUUUGACGGUACCUGGAGAGGAAGCCCCGGCUAACUCUGUGCCAGCAGCCGCGGUAAUACAGAGGGGGCAAGCGUUCUUCGGAAUUAUUGGGCGUAAAGGGCGCGUAGGCGGUGUCUUAAGUGGGAUGUGCAAUCCCCGGGCUUAACCUGGGAACUGCAUACCAGACUGGGACGCUGGAGUACUGGAGAGGGUGGUAGAAUUCCACGUGUUGCGGUGAAAUGCGUAGAGAUGUGGAGGAACACCAGUGGCGAAGGCGGCCACCUGGACAGUAACUGACGCUGAGGCGCGAAAGUGUGGGUAGCAAACA